CCUACGGGAGGCAGCAGUAGGGAAUUUUCCGCAAUGGGCGAAAGCCUGACGGAGCAAUACCGCGUGAGGGAUGACGGCCUGUGGGUUGUAAACCUCUUUUCUCAAGGAAGAAGUUCUGACGGUACUUGAGGAAUAAGCAUCGGCUAACUCUGUGCCAGCAGCCGCGGUAAUACAGAGGAUGCAAGCGUUAUCCGGAAUCACUGGGCAUAAAGCGUCUGUAGGUUGUUUAGUAAGUCUGCUGUUAAAGACUGGGGCUUAACCCCAGAAAAGCAGUGGAAACUGCUAGACUCGAGUGUGGUAGAGGUAGAGGGAAUUCCUAGUGUAGCGGUGAAAUGCGUAGAUAUUAGGAAGAACACCAAUGGCGAAGGCACUCUACUGGGCCAUAACUGACACUGAGAGACGACAGCUAGGGGAGCAAACGGGAUUAGAUACCCCGGUAGUCCUAGCCGUAAACGAUGGAUACUAGAUGUUGCACGUAUUAACCCGUGCAGUAUCGUAGCUAAGGCGUUAAGUAUCCCGCCUGGGAAGUACGCUCGCAAGAGUGAAACUCAAAUGAAUUGACGG
rnacentral:rRNA from 1 species